rnacentral:lncRNA from 1 species
CCUAGUGGUUAGAGCGUUGGGCUAGUAACCGAAAGGUUGCAAGUUCGAAUCCCCAAGCUGACAAGGUACAAAUCUGUCGUUCUGCCCCUGAACAAGGCAGUUAACCCACUGUUAACCCACUGUUCCUAAGAAUUUGUUCUUAACUGACUUGCCUAGUUAAAUAAAGGUAAAAUAAAUAAAAUGCACAAAGCGAGGUCCGUACAGAAAUGGUUUGUCGAGAUCGGUGUGGAAGAACUUGACUAGCCUGCACAGAGCCCUGACCUCAACCUUUGGGAUGAAUUGGAAUGGCGACUGCUAGCCAAGCCUAAUCACCCAACAUCAGUGCCCGACCUCACUAAUGCUCUUGUGGUUGAAUGGAAGCAAGACCCCACAGAAAUGUUCCGACAUCUAGUGGAAAGCCUUAUAGCAGCAAAGGGGACUCCAUAUUAAUGCCCUAGAUUUUGGAAUGAGAUGUCUGUUGAGCAGGUGUCCACAUACAUUUGGUCAUGUAGUGUACAUGUGCAUGCACACACUGACACACACACACACUCACACUCAGACAUGCACAAACACAGACAAACAACUUGGCAGCCAUCUCAAAAAGGUUUGGAGAUACUUAACACAUUGUUGUUCUUACAGGGCAACAAGCAAGCAGUUAAACCCUGUAUGUUGCCCCCAGUGGAUUAUACAGGAACUGCAGAUCUGCUCAGCCUCAAACCAGGUACAGUGAAAUAUUCCACAUUUUGUUGUUACAGCCUGAAUACAGCAAUCAAUCGCUCCAACUGGCGAGCGACACUAAACUCAGCUUCCACCAAAUCUGUUUUGCUCAGAUCCAGCAGUGGUUUCUUUUUCCCAUCUACCUUCAGUGUGUACCAAAAUUCUCCGAUUUCUUUAACUAUUUCCUCAGUGACAAUCUCACUCAUGAGCCCUAUGAUUUCAUUUUGAGUAUCGUAUAUUGAACACCUUUGGUGUGGCAAGAAUAUUUACUAUGAGUUAAACACCAUUGCAAACCAUGAGGCAAUCUGACCAUAAAUAAAUAGGCUUUCCAUUAUAUACUGUGAUCCUGGCUUCAAUCA